rnacentral:tRNA from 1 species
GGGUGAUUAGCUCAUUUGGCUAGAGCGCUUCAUUGACGUUGAAGAGGUGAGAGGUUCGAAUCCUCUAUCGCCCACCA